GCCUGGGUGGCUCAGUCGGUUGGGCGUCCGACCUCAGCUUAGGUCAUGGUCUCAUGGUUCAUGGGUUCGAGCCCCACCUCAGGCU
rnacentral:tRNA from 1 species